UCCAAUCUUUGUUCAUUGUUCAUUGACUGUGGAAGGCUGCUUAAAUGUACAGAGAGAGGGGGGAGGCCCCCUUGCUGGUUUGAUGUUGAAAUAGUAAACCUGAAUGAGGAUGGUGGCUGGAAAAGUGGACAUUGCAGCUUUAAUUAACUUCAAGAUGCUUCAGCAAGGACCAGAGCGUAGUAGUGACGUUGCCUCAUAAAUCUGUCCAGUACAGUGCAUUGCAUUGAACUAUUACAGUAUCACCGUCAUAUUGAAUAUUCACUACCUAUCCGGGAGCAGAUUUGCAUAAUUGGAUCUUUUUUAAAUGAAACUUGUUUGCAAAAAAACAAACAAAACCAAAAAACCAAAAGCCCAAGUGAAAACCGCGGCGAUCUGCAUGAUUAUAAAGGGUUCAAACAUAUCCGAAAAUUGCGACCUUCAGUACCUAUCCUGUGUAUUUUAAGAAUUUCCUCAGCCAGGGAACAGAUACAUUGGUUAAGAGUAACUGAUGGGGAAACUCAGGCAAAGAGGUUAAAGGACCUCUCCCAGGCCACAGAGUGUGUUGAUGUCUGUUCCUGCUCCCUAGACAUGUGCACAGACUACUAG
ensembl:lncRNA